GAAUUUUAUUAAUAUUAAAUUAUUAUCAUAUUAUUAUUAUUAGUAAAUUUAAUAUUUAUUUGAUUGGGGGGAUAUUUAAAUUAGUAAAACUUUAAAUUAAUUUAUAACGUUAAUUAAUGGGAUAGCGAAUUAUAUUAAUGAUUUCAAUUAUGUUAAUAAAAGAAUAAAUUACCUUAGGGAUAACAGCAUAAUAGUUUUAGAGAGUUCGAUUGAUAAAAUUGAUGAGUUCGUAUUGAUAAAAAUGUUUGG
rnacentral:rRNA from 1 species